UUAUUGCUUUCGAAUGGGUUUAAUAAUAGCAUAAAAUCCAAACAAUCAACCCUACAAUGUGAACACAAAAUAAAACAUAACACAGAGUGCUAAACUAGGAAAUCUGAAUAAAACUCUCUCACAAAGAGCUCUAUUGAAUAAUCCAUUGUCAAACUAUCUUUAAUAACCUUGAAUAAUACAAACUAGGAUGCCAGGUUGAUGUGUGGAAUUCCAUGCUUAAAAUGAUUAAACUCUAUGCUACCCUGAUCCUAUUGGAAUCUCUCAACCAUGUAUGUAAUAGAUCCUGAAUGCGAAGGAUACAAAUAAAACCCUUUAUAUUAACAGACCAAUACACAAGAAGUGAAAUUUUACAUAAGGUGCGGAUCAGACCAUCUUCUCUUCAACUCAGAUUUCCACCGAACUUCCUUGAGCAUCCCAUCCAAUCCAUAAUCCCUUUCCAUGACAAGGUUGAUUCCCUCGUCUGAGUACCACCCAACUCCAAUGCAAAGGAUACCAUCUUUGUUAACAUCAACAUAUCCUGUGACACCACCUGGCAGCCAAAGGACAGUCACAUCUUGCAUGUCUACCAUCUCUUCCUCCCCAAAGUAGUUUGGAUUUUCAGGCAAGCUCCUCUUUUUCAAGGUUUCUGUACAAAGGUAAACAUAUGGGGCACUAUUGCUAUCUUCAGUUGCCAUCUCAUCUCCAAAUACUGGAGUAGCAUUCACCUCAAAAACUUUCCACGACCCAGUCAGCUCUGAAGGCUGGGUACGUUUCCUCUGAGAAAAUGGCUUUAGAUCAAACUCCAGAUCACUGUUCACAUCAUAACAGGCGUAAAAUUAGUCUGCAGUAGAAGGCAUAAACUUUUCAUCUUUUUAGUUGGAAGGCAGGAAAACACACAUGAACGGACAAGGAAGAUGGAGAUAUUGAAGAUGGGAGACGUAUGAUAAUAAGCAGACGUGUGAAAGACUGAAAGUAAAAAAGCGAGAAGGAAAAUCCAUAACCGAGGGAAAUUGGAGAUAUUUUCCCUAUUUUACCCCUUUUUAACACUUUUAACCCAAAAGCCAAGGGGCAAUAGAAGAUGAAUAUAAACAAUUUUAUACUUGAAUAAUAGGACACAUAACUAUUGAGUGUUGUGAAACUGCAUUAAUAAAUGGGAAUAAAGCAUCAAGUACCUGUGAUCAUGGAUAUUUGCUGGACUGACCCACUGUUCUUCAUAAACAGCAACUCUCACUAUCUGUAUGUCUGAACCCCCAUUAUUGAAUUCUAUGGUAUGAACAAUACGGAGUCUUUUGUGGCAACCUUUGACCAAACACUAAGGAGGAAAACAUUAAGAAACCCAUAACCAUUUUUCCUAAUUUAAGAGAAGAAGCUGAAUAACAGGUCUGCCAAAUUAAAAAUGCUUCAUAGCACUAACAUGCCAUGCUGAACUUGUUCAAAUUUAGAAGUUGGAGUGAGAUAAUACUUGGAAUCAUCUACUUCACCAACCGGAAUAUUAACUGGACCCCGAGAAUACGAUCCAUCCUGACAAUCCAUUGACAAAAUCAGUCUGACCUCAUUGAUCAGAAAAGAACUAGUGAUAUAUAUCUGAAAUCAGUGGUUGCUAGUGAAGCAACCACUGAUUGAAACUAGACAAAUGAAAUUGUUUGAAGUAACUCCUCUACUAGCUCUCAAAUAAAAUGAUUGCUAGUAAAAAAUGUAUUCAUAAAAACAAGAAUAAACAAUUAAAAUAAGGAAACUCUCAUGGCAUUGGAAUAAAAAGCUAAGCUACACACAUACACACUCACAAUUCAGUUCUCUCGUCCCGGACGAGCUACAAUGUCAUCACUUUCUCCCAAUUUACAAUGUUAAUUGAGCUCUGCUCAGGUAGAUCAUACCUCAAAGAAAACAAGCCCUGGUUCAUUGCCCAUGGCAUCUUCUUCCAGCAAAUCACUCUUUUCAAAGUCAAAAGACUUGAAAUCAGGCAAAAUACGACUUGUACCAAGAUCACCCCUUUGGUUUGGAGGUAAAGACGCAUUGACAGUUUUGUCUUCUUCUUUGAUUCUAUUACUGCCUACAACAUGCUGCAGCACUGCGCCAUAAGGAUUUAAAGUCACCCAAUUUAUCUUCCUUUGGAUUUGCGAUAUCUGUCCUUCAGAUGGGGGUGACACUACUUCGAUGUGAGAAAGAGUAUAGCAGUCAUAUAAAUGUUCAUUCCUGCUUCCAAUGUCAAUGGGUUCCAUUUCUGCAGUGAUGGAUGAAAAUACUGCUCCCACCCCCUUCCAUAUCCCACUUACACUACUUGCAAAUGUAUUCCAUGCUGGUCUUAUUACAGGUUCCUGAGUUUGAAGAACAGUCUCAACCUCCAUUAGCAUAGCACCAGAGACCAUGAUUCUGCCAUCUCUGUUCCGCUUCCGUCUAACCACUCUCCUCCCUCUCCUCCUCGGCUUGGUUCUCCCCUUUUCUUUCUCCGCCGCGGAUUUCGCCAUAUCAUUGUCAAUGCUCCACACAUUUUCCUUUUUCCCCUUUACUUUCACUCCCUCUCUGGGACUUGCAUUUUGGCGGUGGCGGGGUUUGUUCUGGCAUUGGGUUGUGAGACUUUUAGAGUUUAGUUUUUGAAAAUUAAAGGCAAGUGAAAGAUUUCGGGUGGAAAGGGAUUUGAGGGUGUAGUGAAACCCCAGUCGAUGAUUGACGGUGAAAGAGGUCUUGCAGAGGUGGAGACAUGGCGACUGCAUCAUCUUUCAAGCUUUAAUCCAAAAUUAACAAAUUUCUGAGAUAAUAGAGAAAGUCAGAUAAUUGAGGCUCACUAUGUGGGUUGACG
rnacentral:misc_RNA from 1 species